AGCAUGUGGUUUAAUUCGAAGCAACGCGAAGAACCUUACCAGGCCUUGACAUGCUAGGGAACCCGGGUGAAAGCCUGGGGUGCCCCGCGAGGGGAGCCCUAGCACAGGUGCUGCAUGGCCGUCGUCAGCUCGUGCCGUGAGGUGUUGGGUUAAGUCCCGCAACGAGCGCAACCCCGCCGUUAGUUGCCAGCGGUUCGGCCGGGCACUCUAGCGAGACUGCCGGUAAUAAACCGGAGGAAGGUGGGAUGACGUCAAAUCAUCAUGCCCCUUAUGACCUGGGCUACACACGUGCUACAAUGGUUGGUACAACGAGUUGCGAGUCGGUGACGGCGAGCUAAUCUCUUAAAGCCAAUCUCAGUUCGGAUUGUAGGCUGCAACUCGCCUACAUGAAGUCGGAAUCGCUAGUAAUCGCGGAUCAGCACGCCGCGGUGAAUACGUUCCCGGGCCUU
rnacentral:rRNA from 1 species